CGCGACCGCACUUAGUGCUGUCCGGGCAGCUUCUCCUUGAUCUUGUCCAUGAUACCCUUCUUCUCGCCGGUGCCCUCGGUGCCGUAGGCGCCACCAGUUCCCGUGCCGGUCAUGCCGGUGUGUCCCUGCUGCCCAUAGGUGCCGCCGGUAGCCGUGGCGUGCUGGUCGUCCUUGCGGCCUCCGGGCAACUUCUCCUUGAUCUUCUCCUUGAUGCCCUUCUUCCUCCUCCCACCCAUGCCGUCAUCCUCGGACUACAAUCAGAGAAGAACGGAUCUCGUUAAUUAACCAAUCCAUACGAUUAAGCAGGGAGUAACGCAGAGAAAACAAAGAAAUCUGCAAUAAGUGGUUACCGAGCUGGAGCUGGAGCUGCCGGAGCGGUGCAGGAUGCCGCCGGUAUUGUGCUCCUCCCUCACCGGCUGGAACUGCCCGCCGCCCAUGCCGGCGCCGCCGUGUUCGCCUAGCUGCCCCAUGCCGCCAGUUCCGGUAGUACCGUACCCAGUCCCCAUGCCGCCGGUGCCGGUUCCAGUGGUGCCGUGCCCGACGCCGCCGACCGGAUUGCCGUACUGGUCGACGCGGCCGGCGGUGCCGUGGCCGUGCUGCCCCUGCUGGCCGUACUCC
rnacentral:lncRNA from 1 species